AUACGGAGGGUGCAAGCGUUGUUCGGAAUCAUUGGGCGUAAAGGGCGUGUAGGCGGUCAGGUAAGUCAGAUGUGAAAGCCCUGGGCUCAACCCAGGAAGUGCAUUUGAAACUACCUGACUUGAGUACGGGCGAGGACGGGGGAAUUCCCGGUGUAGAGGUGAAAUUCGUAGAUAUCGGGAGGAAUACCGGUGGCGAAGGCGCCCGUCUGGACCGAUACUGACGCUGAGACGCGAAAGCGUGGGGGGCAAACAGGAUUAGAUACCCUGGUAGUCCACGCCGUAAACGAUGAGCACUAGGUGUAGCGGGUAUUGACCCCUGCUGUGCCGUAGCUAACGCAUUAAGUGCUCCGCCUGGGGAUUACGGUCGCAAGACUAAAACUCAAAGGAAUUGACGGG
rnacentral:rRNA from 1 species